GGGCUCCGGCGGCGAUGCGCGGCCUGCGGCCCGGGACGCCCCAGGGAUGAUGCGCCGGCGUCAGGAGAGAACAUCGCCGCGCCCCGCGGAUCCGCGGCGGGUGGAGCCGGUGCUCACCGCCGGCGGUGGAACGGCUGGAGUGCAAUGGCCCAAUCUCGGCUCACCGCAACCUCCGCCUCCUGGGUUCAGGCAAUUCUCCUGCCUCAGCCUCCUGAGUAGCUGGGACUACAGGGUUGAUACUGAUUUUCAUAUGACAACGUUCGGCAAAGGCCUCCCUGCAUUUGAAGAGCAGUGGAAAUGUGGGGGAGACCAAAGCUGCGAUUCCAGUCCACACCAGAGCCCAGAAAGAUUCCCAGGACCCGGGAGAUGCUUCCUGAGCAUCAGGAGCCUGUGGAACGCAGGAAGGAUGGUCCUACAUGAACCAGGAGGAACGACAAUUGUCUGUAGUAAAAGAUGAAUGACAAAGGCAGGAAGGCACAAGAAGGCUCCCAGGUCGGCCCAGGAGCAGGAGCAUGAGGCUGGCUCUGGGAAGCCUCGUCCUCGUUGAAGCAGGCAGGUGGAUGGGCGAUUGGAUGAACGACAGUUGAGAGCUGAGCCCACAGAGUGGAGGAGGAAAGAGAGGCGCAUGGAUGGAGACGCAGACACAGUCCACCAGAGCCUGGGAACCCCCACACCUAUGCGCUCCUCUUGUUUAUCCGGAAAGGAGAGCAUCAGGUUUGAGGAGGAAUGGAACCUGAAACAAACCUCUUCCCUAGAUGUGGAAUUAAUGAGACCCAUUGCCUCUGCUCUCCGGUCCCUGUUCGUCACACAGAGUGCACCUACUGAGCUGGCAGUGGCCUGAUGGCAGGUACAGGCCAGACAUCAGGCCCCAGGGGUCUGGAGCGGGCAGGAGGUGAAGGACAGGACAUGGUGUGAAGCAAACAGACAUGAGUGAGAUCAGAAGAGGCUGCUGAACGCUGGACUGGAGCCAAGCAUGGGGUGCCC